UUGAGGAAGAGUUUGAAGAUUAGGAAGAAGUUGAAGAAGAUGCGGAAUAGUAGCGGACUUAAUUAAAUAACAUGACAAUUGGCAAUAUUGUGUUGUUAUGUUAGUUAUGAGUUAUGAGUUAAGUUGAGACAAUCUCUUGUUUUUUGUUAAAUAGUAGUGUUAAAGAAUGACAAAAGUCCAGAGAGAGCACACUUCUAUUAUUUAAUUAUAUUCUCAACAUGCCCCC
rnacentral:lncRNA from 1 species